rnacentral:rRNA from 1 species
AUACGGAGGAUCCAAGCGUUAUCCGGAUUUAUUGGGUUUAAAGGGUGCGUAGGCGGACUGGUAAGUCAGCUGUGAAAGUUUGCGGCUUAACCGUAAAAUUGCAGUUGAUACUGUCAGUCUUGAGUGUGCAUGAGGUGGGCGGAAUUUGUGGUGUAGCGGUGAAAUGCUUAGAUAUCACGAGGAACUCCAAUUGCGAAGGCAGCUCACUGGGGCAUAACUGACGCUGAUGCACGAAGGUGUGGGUAUCAAACAGGAUUAGAUACCCUGGUAGUCCACACAGUAAACUAUGAAUACUUGUCUUCGGCGAUAUAAUGUCGGAGGCAAAGCGAAAGCGAUAAGUAUUCCACCUGGGGAGUACGCCGGCAACGGUGAAACUCAAAUGAAUUGACGGGG